CAGUAGCCGCGGGAAUACGGAGGGAGCUAGCGUUGUUCGGAAUUACUGGGCGUAAAGCGCACGUAGGCGGCUUUGUAAGUUAGAGGUGAAAGCCUGGAGCUCAACUCCAGAACUGCCUUUAAGACUGCAUCGCUUGAAUCCAGGAGAGGUGAGUGGAAUUCCGAGUGUAGAGGUGAAAUUCGUAGAUAUUCGGAAGAACACCAGUGGCGAAGGCGGCUCACUGGACUGGUAUUGACGCUGAGGUGCGAAAGCGUGGGGAGCAAACAGGAUUAGAUACCCCAGUAGUCCCUGUCUCUUAUAC
rnacentral:rRNA from 1 species